UUUCGCUUUGGUCAGGCGAGAGACACGCCAGCGCGACGCAGAACGCUUUCGUGGCGCACGCUGCGAACUCUGCCACUCGCAUUCCUGAAGCUGAGCGCGUCGCAACUCAACUGGCUGCAAAAGACAAUAUGGAGCUGGGCCGAAAUUCUGGUACCUUCGCCGAGGCGACUCAGCAAGAGGGCAAUACUUGCCAAGAGGAUGCCGCGCGCCAAGCAAACCUGCAACGCGGUCGCCGACCCGUAAAUCGUGCGCCUUUCGCUGCAGCGGACCUGUGUGCUGAAACCCAUCUUCAAUUAUUCUCCUGCUGAUUCCCAGCGUGCCAAAGUGUCCUCCGCUGCAGCAGAAAGUCCGCGUCUUGGGGGUAGCGCCAAUGACGCCGCCGAACCCAGUAGAUGCGCGAGGGCGG